UACGUAGGGUGCGAGCGUUAAUCGGAAUUACUGGGCGUAAAGCGCACGUAGGCGGCUUUGUAAGUCAGAUGUGAAAUCCCCGGGCUCAACCUGGGAACUGCGUUUGAAACUACAAGGCUAGAGUGCAGAAGAGGGGGGUAGAAUUCCACGUGUAGCAGUGAAAUGCGUAGAGAUGUGGAGGAAUACCGAUGGCGAAGGCAGCCCCCUGGGCUAACACUGACGCUCAUGCACGAAAGCGUGGGGAGCAAAC
rnacentral:rRNA from 1 species